UUAAAAGCUAUGCAUCCACUUUGAAUAUUGUAUCUCGAACUACGAGGUUUUGAUCCCUAAUUUUAAUGUUGGUACGUAGGCACAAGUCUGAAGGUCUUGUCAAGAAAAAAAAUAUAAUUAAUGAAUUCUUUUCUCAUCCCCCCAUUCUAUUUGUUUGUAAACAUAACUUUGUACAAAAUACAUAUGCACAUAAAAAAGGGCUCGCUAUGAGUACCUAGGACACUUUGGGUGCUAACACCUUCCCUUUGUGUAAUCAACCCCCUUACCUAUAAUCUCUGACAUUUUAUUAGUUUUGAUUUGGAAACUUCUUACUUUUGGGUUUUGUUCGUACUUUUUUCCUUUUUCCUUGAAAACAAUAAAAGCGCGGUGGCGACU
rnacentral:lncRNA from 1 species